UACGUAGGGGGCCAGCGUUGCUCGGAAUUACUGGGCGUAAAGGGUUCGUAGGUGGUGCGGCAAGUUGGGCGUGAAAUCUCUGGGCUUAACCCAGAGGCUGCUUUCAAAACUGCCGCGCUCGAGUGCGAGAGAGGUCAGUGGAAUUGCAGGUGUAGCGGUGAAAUGCGUAGAUAUCUGCAGGAACACCCGUGGCGAAGGCGGCUGACUGGAUCGCAACUGACACUGAGGAGCGAAAGCGUGGGGAGCAAACAGG
rnacentral:rRNA from 1 species